GACGAACGCUGGCGGCGUGCUUAACACAUGCAAGUCGAACGGAAAGGCCCUGCUUUUGUGGGGUGCUCGAGUGGCGAACGGGUGAGUAACACGUGAGUAACCUGCCCUUGACUUUGGGAUAACUUCAGGUAACUGGGGCUAAUACCGGAUAGGAGCUCCUGCUGCAUGGUGGGGGGGGGAAAGUUUCGGCGGUUGGGGAUGGACUCGCGGGUUAUCAGCUUGUUGGUGGGGGAGUGGCUUACCAAGGCUUUGACGGGUAGCCGGCCUGAGAGGGUGACCGGCCACAUUGGGACUGAGAUACGGCCCAGACUCCUACGGGAGGCAGCAGUGGGGAAUAUUGCACAAUGGGCGGAAGCCUGAUGCAGCAACGCCGCGUGCGGGAUGACGGCCUUCGGGUUGUAAACCGCUUUCGCCUGUGACGAAGCGUGAGUGACGGUAAUGGGUAAAGAAGCACCGGCUAACUACGUG
rnacentral:rRNA from 1 species